rnacentral:lncRNA from 1 species
UCCCAAAGUGCCAGGAUUACAGGCGUGAGCCUCCCGGCCUGGCCCUGUUCUUUUAAAAAUAGCCGAUCUAACUUCACACUACUACCAAAAGCCAGAUCUGUCCCCAAGCUCUUUCUUCCCACAUCUCCCCUACCUGCUUGAAAGGGGGUGUUAAGACCUCCUCCACACCUGAGCGCCCCCACCCUGUGGCCGCCACCACCAGAACCACCAUCAACUCUGGAGGCCGAUCUGAGGAGAGAAGAGAAGCCAACAACCCCGCAGGAUGAGAGAGCAAUCUCUUUUGUAUCACAGACCCUCCGGAGCAGUUGCGGGAGGGCUGGCUGGGUGCAUGGAAGUAUUUAGCAGGUUCAGUGCCAUUACUGCCUAACAGGGUGUGAAAAGUAAUAUGAAUGUGAAAUACUGUGGGAAAACGGAGAGUUUCCAAAGCAGGCAGCGAGGCCCCUCCGCUGGUGGGCCUGGAAGGCCAGAAUCCCUGCUGCCCCGAGUGCGGCUCCCGGAGGCGCUGCUACUGGCCGAGGACUGCAGAGGGAAUGUCGGGGAGGGGGAGAUGGAUGGAGGGUGAGAUGGGUGGAGGGUGCAGUCCGCCCUGAGAAGAGAGGGAGGGGCAAGCUGGCAGUGCCUGGGAAAAGCCCGAGAAAAGCCCUGUCGGCUCCCUCUUCCUGGCUGCUAAAGUUGACACAAGACGGCUUCUUGGAACUCCCCCUCCUCCCGCCUAAAUGUACAGAGCAAGACUUGAAGUCAAAAGAUAGAUAGCGAUCGUGCUGAAAGUCAGGUGGAAAACAAGACUGCUAAUUUUAUGAAACAACCUAUCAACCCACUGGGAAGAGAUGACAAGAGGUACAUGGGCGCUUCUGCAGGAGGUGGAGGUGGAGGUGAAAUGCCGAGGUUCUAGACUGAUGUAAAUUUCUCCAACUAACUCCAGAUCGAGAGCCUACAAAUCCGACAAAUAUGCCCACACUUUGACAGUAACCGCCUCCCAGCACGCCCCACCACCGCCAACACACAUGGAGGGGUUUGAACUUUUCCACCUUCCGGACCUCUGCAGUCCGUCGCAGGACGCCCAAACCACAGGCCGGACACAGAUGAAGCCAGACCACAGCCCCCGCCCCAGCCACCGCGGUAGGUGGGUGCCCAAGAGACUUCUCAGACUUGAAGGCACUCUGCGGCCACCAAGAGACCACUCCGCAUCCUAGGUCGAGCCUGUGGGAGAAGCACUCGGGGCCCGGGAGGCCGAGGCCUAAGGAAAGCAGCCGAUGGCUCCCAAGACAACUCUGUCCGGCCAGUACUCCAGGGCAACUUCAACCCCACUAGGACCCAGGCCAAAACCAUAUAUAUAUAUAUAUAUAUAUAAAUUAACGCAAAACAGAGCCACUUUGGUGCCUACCCCUCCACAAGUAGGUAGGCACAUCCAGGUAGCUCUGUCAGAAGAUGGGACCUGGCGCCUUGCAGGGGUAGCCCUAUGGAGAUCCAGAAGCCCCGUUUCGAGCUACGAAGUCUCUCUUCUACUGCAGUCUUCUCUCCAACGUGGAGAUCUAGCAACUUCCCUCCCCCUGGGAUUCCCUGUGAAUCCACUCUAGUUGGGAUAUAGCCUCUCUACAGCUCAGUGACGUAGCGCGCCAAAACCAAGUACCCACCCCGGCAACUGGAAGACCUAGCUGUCCUCCAUCCCGCCUCCGCAGUCGAUAAUCUCCAGGAUCCAAGCAAAGUGCCUGUCCACGUUGUCACCAGAUCCACAAGCGCUUUUGAUGAGAGCUGCUACCCUUUUGGAAACACGAUUCCCUCUCCCUAGUAGAGAAGAAUCUAUUCUUCUGGGCUGGCGUAGACAAAGAAUAACCAAGAUAAAGUAUGUGGUGUGAAAAUA